ACGCUCGACACCUACGUGAGGCAGCAGUGAGGAAUAUUGGUCAAUGGACGCAAGUCUGAACCAGCCAUGCCGCGUGCAGGAUGACGGCUCUAUGAGUUGUAAACUGCUUUUGUACGAGGGUAAACGCAGAUACGUGUAUCUGUCUGAAAGUAUCGUACGAAUAAGGAUCGGCUAACUCCGUGCCAGCACGCCGUAGUAAUCUGAGGCGGCGUGGACGAAGGC
rnacentral:rRNA from 1 species